rnacentral:rRNA from 2 species
AGGAAUGAGAAGUCGUAACAAGGUUUCCGUAGUUUAACCUAAGGAAGGAUCAUUG